rnacentral:rRNA from 1 species
CCUACGGGGGGCUGCAGUAAGGAAUAUUGGUCAAUGGACGCAAGUCUGAACCAGCCAUGCCGCGUGGAGGAUGAAGGUCCUCUGGAUUGUAAACUUCUUUUAUUUGGGAAGAAACUCCCGAUUUCCAUCGGGAUUGACGGUACCAGAUGAAUCAGCACCGGCUACCUCCGUGCCAGCAGCCGCGGUACUACGGAGGGUGCAGGCGUUACUCGGAUUCACUGGGUUUAAGGUGUGCGUAGGUGGCAAGGGUGAAAUCUCCGGGCUUAACCCGGAAACUGCCAUUGAUACUAUUGGUCUUGAAUACUCUGGAGGUGAGCGGAAUAUGUCAUGUAGCGGUGAAAUGCUUAGAUAUGACAUAGAACACCCAUUGCGAAGGCAGCUCACUACGGAAAUAUUGACGCUGAGGCACGAAAGCGUGGGGAUCAAACAGGAUUAGAUACCCUAGUAGUC